rnacentral:rRNA from 1 species
CAAAAACGACUCUCGGCAACGGAUAUCUCGGCUCUCGCAUCGAUGAAGAACGUAGCGAAAUGCGACGAUACUUGGUGUGAAUUGCAGAAUCCCGUGAACCAUCGAGUCUUUGAACGCAAGUUGCGCCCGAAGCCACUAGGCCGAGGGCACGUCUGCCUGGGCGUCACGCAU